GGGCAGCAUGGUCUUAGCUUGCUAAGGCUGAUGGCGACCGGCGCACGGGUGAGUAACACGUAUCCAACCUGCCGUCUACUCUUGGCCAGCCUUCUGAAAGGAAGAUUAAUCCAGGAUGGCAUCAUGAGUUCACAUGUCCGCAUGAUUAAAGGUAUUUUCCGGUAGACGAUGGGGAUGCGUUCCAUUAGAUAGUAGGCGGGGUAACGGCCCACCUAGUCAACGAUGGAUAGGGGUUCUGAGAGGAAGGUCCCCCACAUUGGAACUGAGACACGGUCCAAACUCCUACGGGAGGCAGCAGUGAGGAAUAUUGGUCAAUGGGCGAUGGCCUGAACCAGCCAAGUAGCGUGAAGGAUGACUGCCCUAUGGGUUGUAAACUUCUUUUAUAAAGGAAUAAAGUCGGGUAUGCAUACCCGUUUGCAUGUACUUUAUGAAUAAGGAUCGGCUAACUCCGUGCCAGCAGCCGCGGUAAUACGGAGGAUCCGAGCGUUAUCCGGAUUUAUUGGGUUUAAAGGGAGCGUAGAUGGAUGUUUAAGUCAGUUGUGAAAGUUUGCGGCUCAACCGUAAAAUUGCAGUUGAUACUGGAUGUCUUGAGUGCAGUUGAGGCAGGCGGAAUUCGUGGUGUAGCGGUGAAAUGCUUAGAUAUCACGAAGAACUCC
rnacentral:rRNA from 1 species